CUCUUACGGAAGAGCGCGACACUCUGCGCGAAGAAGUUAACCGACUUAAUCAGGAGAUACGUCCUGCAUGCCUGGCGUAUGCUCAUCGUAAACUGCGUGGUCAGAUAGUUGAUGAGCUCACGCUUUAUCGCUGGUUUU
rnacentral:sRNA from 19 species